CUUAAUUCUCGCAGACAAAGCUGCAUAUUCGCAUUAUUGAGUUAUGUUCUACUACAUACAUACACUUGCUAAUCGGCAAUUCGUGGUAUUUCCAUUUUUCCUUUGUUAUUCAAAUCAACAUUGAGCGCGACUAUAAAGUGCUAAUCACCCGGCGUCGGAACAUUACUGAUUACUGGGAAUGGAACAUGUCUCGUUUCUUGCUACUCUGCUAGAGUUCCUUGAUUUCUAUUCGUAUUUAUUCCUUCAAAUAAUAAAAGCACUAUUUAUUCAUUUACCUGGUAAUCAGGCCGGAAAAGUUUACGGAUCGCAUACUAAUGUUUUCAUUUUUUUGAAGGAAAGCGCAUCUGUAUCCGCACAAGACAUGACGAGAAAUAAGCUAUUUGAAAAAAGAGUCACAAUUUUCACACCUUGGUGAAUGCAUAUUUUAUACAUAUGUAAUAUGGACCAAAAUUCUAGGAUAUUCUGGAUUGUAACAUCAUUUUAAAAAUAUCAAAUGUCCAUCAGCUCUGUUGAUUCGGCUAAAUCUUGUUGACAAUCAUAAUCACGGGACGAAAGAAUAUGCAUAGGAAAUCUCAAAGUAGUGGUGCCACAUUUACAUUCACAAACUGCUGAAUGUGUGCUGCUUUGUUGUUAUUUUUUACUGUUCUGUUGGUAAUGCAUUGUCUUUUUUAUCAUGUUGAUGUAGACUUUUGCAUCUGAUAAUGAUUUAAUACUCUCGAAUAAUGUAAACAUUUAUGUAACAUGUAUACAUACACUUCUUAACCAUAUGCCGGAUUUUCAUGACGGGCUAGUUUUAAAAAUUGUUGUUGAACCAUUUUUCUCCAGAUAAUUAUAUAAUGUGCAUAUGUAGAGCUACUGCAUAUAGGUUCUACUACCAAACUUGUUUAAUUGUGUGUCGAAGAGUUUGCGAAUGAUUAUUCACUAGUUUCCUUUCGCAUUAGCAAGUAAAAGAUAAUAAUACUAUCAUCUACCGGGAAAUACGCAGUUGAAAUACCACUUUUCGCUUAUCACUAAAUUGGUUACCCUAAGUGAGAUUUUCUCUCUGUACUUGAAAUUUCUGACCUCGAACUUAUUUCAAGUGUUAUAAUCCGCAAUAAACUAAAUUAUAAGUUUUCCAUUCUUUGCCAAUAUAUGUACACAGUUGCACAAUUUCGUGCACCUUUUCGACCUUUUCGACUAUUAAAAAAUACUGAUGAUGGUUGGCAAAGUUGUAUCACGCAUGCAUGUAUGUGCAUAUGUAAAAUUCCAGAAAGAUAUGUACAUACAAGUUGUUCCAGUCAGUUCUUAUGUAAAUGAUACGCAUAAGGUACAAAGUUUUAAACCCACAGAAUAAUAAGAAUGUCCAACCGAGCCGAGAAGAACAUAAUAUGCAUGAUUAGUUGAAAUCUUGGUAUCAAGUUUAUUAAUAGAACCAGGACAACCUUCUACUUGAUAUUCAGAGGGAUGAUAAUGAUUUUGCAAGUGAAUAAUCAACCAAAAACAAUAGGAACUUGACCAACCAAACUUGAUUGACAUUGUUCACCUUUAAUAGCUAAUUGAACAGAAGAGGUUUGACUGAGGACUUUUAGAGAACAUGAAUCAUCCACACCAGUUGGUAAUGAAACACGUCCAGAAUGCCACAAAAAAAAACUGUUCUACUUCCUUCCUUCCUUGUUCAUCUUCAAGAUUAGGGGACAACAACGCUGUAAAUGAAUUCCAGGUGUUGCCUUAUUUUACAACAACAAAGGUGGUGAUUAUGAGACCACAAUUUUGCGCAAUAACUCAACAAUGCUUGAAGGAAACUCAUUUGAACUGCUCGAAGGAAAGAAAAUGACGGGAAAAACAACAUAUGCAAAAUUAUAUGGCAUCCAUUGCAAAAUGAACUAGAAGGUCGAAGCAUUCUUGUUCUCAAACACUUCCUUUUUGCCAAUUGUCAUUGUUGCAGGAAAGAAGAGAGGUUGGACUGAAGCAAAUCAAGCUAUUUAGUCAAGAGUAGGUGGUGGUAGUAGGCAAUAUUUCUUGACAUGCACCAAAAUAAAACUGCAGAAAUGAAAUAAAUGACCUUCUUCUCCUUAACCGUCGCUUUUAACGAAACUUGUAUAUCCUCAUUUUACAUCAACCAAAAUCUAAUGCUAACAAUGAAGACAAUUUUACAAUUUUACUGGAGUUCCUAGUUUUUGUCGUUCUUAAGUCUUGUGCCCGUGUGUAGGUAAGUAAGUAUUACAAUGCAUUCCUUCAGUCGUUUUUACCAGCUUUGGGUUUUCUCUCCGUGAUGAAUUGUUAAUAUUUUAAGUUGUGUGGUUGGAUAUUGUUCUGUUCCAUAUCAUCCAUUGAAUUGUCUUACUUAGCAAAUAUUACAAGGAGAGUUACCUUCAAGUAAGAAUCUCACCUUGCCAGGUUCUUGGAUAAACUGGUGUAGAGUAGACACACAAUUUAUCCUUAAUAUUUUUUAUCCAGCAAACCACUGGUUAUUAUUUUCGAAUGGUUACAUACAAAGGAAGUUUAUUUAUACGUGAUAGUACAAGGUCCUUAGCCGGAUUAUAUGGAAAGGAAAAGCAUAAGAAACGUCGUCAUGUUUUCAUGUAAUCCGAUUAGUAAUCUAUCAACCAUUCAACCAGAGGCAGAAAGUCAGGCAAUCAUGUUUAUUAAUAAUAUGUUGGCUCAUAGAAUUGCAUGUUUCCGACCUUCCGAUAUGCUGCAUCAUACUGGUGAAAUAUAACUUUUUUUAUUUUAGUAGACGAACAUGAACAUGCAAUUCUGAUUGAACUGAUCUAAUAUUCUAAAUAGGUUUAUAUGUAUUUAUUAGAAUUUCGAUCCACAGUUGACAGUCGUUUGUACCUAUAUUACACACGUAGAUCAUACCACAUUCUGCUGUAAUUAUUAAUUGUCAUUACAUAAAUAUUUGUGUUAUCAUACACACGUAUGCUUAUGCAUAUUAUGCAUUUUCUUCGGUUAUGGACAUUAUGGAAAAGUUACAGAAAUUGAGUAUGAGCUACAUCAAUAUAUGAGCAUCUUGUGUACAUUUUAUUUUUUUAAUCAUUGCUGAAUUAGGCCAAAAGGUUUUGUUUGUAUAAAUAAAUAAAUGCGAGCCAAGUAAAUUGCGACUCAAUUUCGAAGAAUUAUGAAUAUAAAGUCACUGAGGUCAGUCUCAAGAUUUUUGUCGUCUCUCAAAACCAAGUGGACACAAAUGUGACAAGAUGCAAUAUGUAUGGAAGUAUCUGUAAGAAGUCUGGUGCCCUCUUGAAAUUGAUAAUCUGCACAACUGGAGACUUUCCUCUUCUGAGAAAUCAAUGUAAACAUUUGCAUCAUAAUUAUAUCGCAAUUUAAGUUAAGAAGGUCAUUGAUUCAUUACUAUGCUUUCUUCGUACUCAUCCAGAGCAACAUUUCAUAUAUUUUUUCUUCUGGUUUGAUUGAUUUACUUUUUAUGCAAAAAAUGGGGAUGAAACUUAUCAAAGCUUUAAAUCUAACAACGCAUAAAAUAGUUAAAGUUUAUUAUCAGAAUUUAAAAACAAGGAUCCAGACAUUUGCUGGCGAUGGGUCUGGGCACUGUGCAAUUUUUUUUACUGUAUUGCGAAACUUUUACUUGGUUAACUUGCAUAUGUACAUAUCUGUGUACGUAUGAACAUAUCUUUGCUCAUAAAUAUGUACGCGUGUAUAAUUAUAUUCUGAAACUGUAUAAUCUGGGUUAUCAUGCAUUAUUAUGCAAAUGUUAUUAUAGAACAUAUUUGUUUCAUCUUGGUACAUUGUGGUAUAUAUAUAACUAGUUGAUAAUCUUCUUAGGAUGGAUCGGUCCAUGCACCAUAGAUUCUUGUGUGUAUCAUCCUAUGUCAUUCAUUUUCUAAAUUAAACUUCCUUAUCGUUAUCGUUCACAGACAUUACAGACAGGGACAUAGAUAUGAAAUGUGACAUGUAAUAAGCAACUUGUAUAACACCUUACAAAUAAGUAACUGCAGACAAAAUAGUCCUGUGCCCAAUCGCCAGUUAUCCUAAAUAAUUUAACGUUAAAUUCCAUAGUUUAACUAAUUGUAAGUUGACCUUGUAAAGUACUAUUUCGCAUCACUGAAGUUAUCCGAGCAGAAAAGUUCCGUGGGAUUUCAUUUUAUUUUACAUAUGGCGUCAUUAGUAUUCGAAUUAAUCAAUUAAAAAAUUAAAUAUGUACUAGCCGACGGCUAGCCAGUCAGUCAGAAGUCAGUUCAAAUGUAUACAUGUGCACAAUAUAUACUUACGCAAAUUGCAAAGACAACAGGAAAUGCGAUAGUAAAACAAGCUUGUCAUAUAU